rnacentral:rRNA from 1 species
GAUAUUGGGCGUAAGAGCUCGUAGGCGGUUUGUCGCGUCUGCUGUGAAAGACCGGGGCUCAACUCCGGUUCUGCAGUGGGUACGGGCAGACUAGAGUGAUGUAGGGGAGACUGGAAUUCCUGGUGUAGCGGUGAAAUGCGCAGAUAUCAGGAGGAACACCGAUGGCGAAGGCAGGUCUCUGGGCAUUAACUGACGCUGAGGAGCGAAAGCAUGGGGAGCGAACAGGAUUAGAUACCCUGGUAGUCCAUGCCGUAAACGUUGGGCACUAGGUGUGGGGGACAUUCCACGUUUUCCGCGCCGUAGCUAACGCAUUAAGUGCCCCGCCUGGGGAGUACGGCCGCAAGGCUAAAACUCAAAGGAAUUGACGGGGGCCCGCACAAGCGGCGGAGCAUGCGGAUUAAUUCGAUGCAACGCGAAGAACCUUACCAAGGCUUGACAUGGGCCAGACCGCCGCAGAAAUGUGGUUUCCCCUUUGGGGCUGGUUCACAGGUGGUGCAUGGUUGUCGUCAGCUCGUGUCGUGAGAUGUUGGGUUAAGUCCCGCAACGAGCGCAACCCUCGUUCUAUGUUGCCAGCACGUGAUGGUGGGGACUCAUAGGAGACUGCCGGGGUCAACUCGGAGGAAGGUGGGGACGACGUCAAAUCAUCAUGCCCCUUAUGUCUUGGGCUUCACGCAUGCUACAAUGGCCGGUACAAAGGGUUGCGAUACUGUGAGGUGGAGCUAAUCCCAAAAAGCCGGUCUCAGUUCGGAUUGGGGUCUGCAACU